AAGACAGCAGAAAUUAUGGAACGAUUCUGGCGAAUGUGCAGAGAGCGGGACAGCCAGGAGCAGAUGACGUUGCAGGCACCUCAAGCAUCAUCCCUUAGUCCUAUUACCCAACGGAAAUUGUUUGUUACAUGCUUUGCAAGUGGCAUUGUGUGUUCUAUUCUUGGAGCAGCAAUAUUUUUGCUUUCAAAUGAGGAUCUGAAAUUCUCUGC
rnacentral:lncRNA from 1 species